CCUUUGUGGCUGAGCCCUGUUCCCGCGCUGUGCAAGCACUCCCGGCCCAGCUUCAGGCCUGAGGGGUGGGGGUGGCCUAAGUCUCCAUGGUGACAUCAGCUGAGCUGCAGACUCUGAUGGGUGGCAGCUGUUUAGGGGGAAGCCCGCCCCUGGGCCUCCGCCGAGUGGGCCUUGCCCUGGCGUUUGGUGGCUCCUCUGGCCUCUGGCACCCACAGAUGGGGCUGCCUCACGUCCCAGGUUGACCAGGGGCCCUGCAGACCGACCUCUGCCUGUUGCCCCAAGCCCUGGUGGGGAGUGCUGUGACCUGCAUGGUGCUCCCCCGCCAGGUCUCCACGUGCAGACAGGAGCUGGUUUGGAAGGGCUGCGUGGGACGGGCCCUGGGGCGGAUGACUGCGCGUGUGCAGGGCUGUGUGGGCGCCCGGGGGCUGUGAUGGUCCCCUCUGUUGCUGCUUCUACUUCCUUUCCCCUGCCCUGACACUGGCACAGGAAAUGCUGCUUUGGGGCCUCCCACCCUCUCUCCUUAGCGUCCCCAGCUGUGGGUCUGGCUUGGAGUUGGAGGAUGAGCCUCUGCUCUUGGGAGCAGGCUCCCAAGUCUGUUUGCAAACAGGGACUUCCCUCACGUCACGGAGUCUCCGCCGCUCUCCUCGGUUACAGAGGGCUGGUUUCAGGCUCUCGCUCUUUUAGAGCUGAGGCCCGUCGGGCGGAGAGUGUCUUGCCCCUGCCUACCUGGAGGCACAGGGGUGGCUGCUGGUGGACACUAGAGUGGGCAGAGCCGAUUGCCUGCCCAACCCCUGGGAGCUCAUGCAGGAGAGGCCUGUGUCGGGGUCACGCCCAGGCCCUCCCAGCGUCCUCCCUGCCCGCUCGGUGGAUGGCGGCAGUAAGCAGAGCCCUGGGGGGGCUCGCAGGGCUGCUGUCCCUCUGGUCAGGAGAAGGCUGGUUCUCGGAGGCCACGUCAGCACCAGGGCCUGGCCCAGCCCCACAUCCAGCAACCCCGUCUGUGUCCUCCCAGACUCCGCUGCGGUCGUGGAGGAGGGAAGUCCUGGCGAGGUUCCUGUGCCAGUGGAGCCCCCAGGCUUGGAGGACUUUGAGGCAGCGCUAGGCAUGGACAGGCGCACGGAUGCCUACAGCAGGUCGUCCUCAGUCUCCAGCCAGGAGGAGAAGUCGCUCCACGCGGAGGAGCUGGUUGCCAGGGGCAUCCCCAUCGAGCGAGCCGUCUCCUCGGAGGGUGGCCGGCCCUCUGUGGACCUCUCCUUCCAGCCCUCGCAGCCCCUGAGCAAGUCCAGCUCCUCUCCCGAGCUGCAGACCCUGCAGGACAUCCUCGGGGACCCUGGGGACAAGGCCGACGUGGGCCGGCUGAGCCCUGAGGUUAAGGCCCGGUCACAGUCAGGGACCCUGGACGGGGAAAGUGCUGCCUGGUCAGCCUCGGGCGAAGACAGUCGGGGCCAGCCGGAGGGUCCCUUGCCUUCCAGCUCCCCCCGCUCGCCCAGUGGCCUCCGGCCCCGAGGUUACACCAUCUCCGACUCGGCCCCAUCACGGAGGGGCAAGAGGGUAGAGAGGGAUGCCUUUAAGAGCAGAGCCACAGCCUCCAAUGCAGAGAAAGUGCCGGGCAUCAACCCCAGUUUCGUGUUCCUGCAGCUCUACCAUUCCCCCUUCUUUGGCGACGAGUCAAACAAGCCAAUCCUGCUGCCCAAUGAGUCACAGUCCUUUGAGCGGUCGGUGCAGCUCCUCGACCAGAUCCCAUCAUACGACACCCACAAGAUCGCCGUCCUGUAUGUUGGAGAAGGCCAGAGCAACAGCGAGCUCGCCAUCCUGUCCAACGAGCAUGGCUCCUACAGGUACACGGAGUUCCUGACGGGCCUGGGCCGGCUCAUCGAGCUGAAAGACUGCCAGCCCGACAAGGUGUACCUGGGAGGCCUGGACGUGUGUGGUGAGGAUGGCCAGUUCACCUACUGCUGGCACGAUGACAUCAUGCAAGCCGUCUUCCACAUCGCGACCCUGAUGCCCACCAAGGACGUGGACAGGCACCGCUGCGACAAGAAGCGCCACCUGGGCAAUGACUUUGUGUCCAUUGUCUACAAUGACUCCGGCGAGGACUUUAAGCUCGGCACCAUCAAGGGCCAGUUCAACUUUGUCCACGUGAUCGUCACCCCGCUGGACUAUGAGUGCAACCUGGUGUCCCUGCAGUGCAGGAAAGACAUGGAGGGCCUUGUGGACACCAGCGUGGCCAAGAUCGUGUCUGACCGCAACCUGCCCUUCGUGGCCCGCCAGAUGGCCUUGCACGCAAAUAUGGCCUCACAGGUGCACCAUAGCCGCUCCAACCCCACCGACAUCUACCCCUCCAAGUGGAUUGCCCGGCUCCGCCACAUCAAGAGGCUCCGCCAGCGGAUCUGUGAGGAAGCCGCCUACUCCAACCCCAGCCUGCCUCUGGUGCACCCCCCGUCCCAUACCAAAGCCCCUGCACAGACUCCAGCCGAGCCCACACCUGGCUACGAGAUGGGCCAGCGGAAGCGCCUCGUCUCCUCCGUGGAGGACUUCACCGAGUUCGUGUGAGGCCGGGGCUCCCCCUGCUGCGCUGGCCUUGGACAGUAUUGCAUGUCAGUGAAAUAAAGUCCUGGCCCCAGUGCACAG
rnacentral:sRNA from 1 species